AAACAUAUAUAAUUUUGACUUUAUGUAUGUAUCUCCUUUUUUUAUUUUGUCUGCUCUUUUGGUUCUUUGUUUAAUCUUGCCUCUUGCUGGAAUUUGUUUUUUUUUUGUGCAUAUUCGGUAUGUUUUCGUAACUGAAUUUGGUUCUGUGGAGGCCCUAAUGUUUUGGGGCCUGAAGCCACUGCUUUAGUGGCUUUUGGUUGAGCCGGCCUUGAGUUGAACGUGGAUGCAAGAAGAUGACCAGUUGUGGGGACAUAAAAAGGGCUGUGAAAAUGAAGUUCGAAUUCUUCGCAUCAGUCCUGGGAUGUGUUCUACAAAUAUGGUUGGCUUGUGUAGUAACGACGUUGGAGGUGAGGGAGACUGUUAAGUUGGAAGCAAAAUUGGUUGAAAGUUAAAUUCCACAAAUAGAAUACUGUGAAGCUGACUCUUUGCCAUAUCAAAACUCCUCAAGAAGCUGCGGGUGGCAAGAUUCUACAGCUACUAAACAGAGUGGAACCACUGUCUUGGAUCAAGAUCAGUCUCUGAUAGAUGAUUCAAGUCUUUGUUCUACAUCACAAAUAUGUUCAGCACCCCUAUCUCGCCAGUUCUGGAAAGCUGGAAAUUAUGAUGAGGCGCGUGCUACUAAGUCCACCGUUAAAAGUAUUAUGCUCUGAAAAGGCUCCAAUUUCCUGCACAUUUACCCGAAGUUCCUUCACUCAAACGCCACUUCCGAUAAAUGGGCAUUUGGUGCCUUGGCCUCUCUUGACAACGUUGUUGAUGAGAUACAAAAUGGAGCCUCCUUUGUUAUUGUAGAUAAAACUCCAAAUCCAAGGAACGGAAGUUCAGCUGUAAUGGUUCAAGAUGAUGGUGAUGGAAUGGACACAGAAUCCAUACAUCGUUUAUGAGCUUUGGGUUUUCAGAUAAGAAGUCAGCUUCAACUAUUGGACAGUGUUAACAUGGUGUCCUUUUCUGUGUCAUGCGUGUUAAUUCCUAAUUGUCAACAUUUUAGAUGGAAAUGGUUUUAAGACCAGUUCAAUGAGACUUGGGGCAGGUACAAGUGAGACAUCUUUUUGAUUAUUCUUUUCAUUUUUCACUGAUAAAAACAACUACAAGUGAGACAUCAUUGUUUAUCGUGUACAUAUUUGUUUAUUCUUUGACUACAGAAGUUGUAGAAAACAGCUUGCCGUGUAUAAAAAUUAAUUAUGUUAAAAGUCAAACAUAUAAAACAUAUAUUUUUUGGAACCCUGAGUUUGAACAUGAACUCCCAACCUUAAAAUACAAACCUUGAACUUCGAAUCCCGAACCUUGACUUUUAAACUCCGAGCCUUUAAUUCUAAUCUCUGAACCUUGAACCCUAAGUUCUAAACCCUGAAUUCCAAACCCCAAACCCUAACCUCAAUUAUGAAUGCCUUGAACUUUGAACCCUAAACAUCAAAAUCUAAAUUUGAACCUCAAACCCCAAAUCAUAAACAUUAAACCCAG